GUUAAAGCCCGUUACUUUCACUUUCGCUUACGUUGUGCGGGUGAUUUCUAAGAAAUCGUCUGCUUGCAGUUCGUGCGUCUAACCGGAUAAACGAGCGAGUAGUAAACGACGAGCAGACUUAAAUGUUUUAAUAUUUUUGGAUAUAUUCUAGCUUAUUUUAACUCCUAUAGUGAAAGUAUGUAUGUUUUCCCAUCGUGUACUUCUGCAGUCCGGCGUUUCGACCAUAGACUAAAAGGUUUCGACAUCUGACGUCCACAGGAUGUUUAUUCAGAAUUUUUAUUUUCUGUUCACUCAUAAACAGCUCUUUAACUACCAUUAAACGGAGCUCGGCGCUCCUUUAUCAAAAGAAGGAUUUAAAAAAAAAAAAAAAAAUUUCCCUUUAAAGUUCUGCGAUGGAGUUUACAGAUGAGGAGAAAAUAUGGCUGCAAAGAGUGUCUGCUGAAAUACCUGAAGGAAAUGAACUCACUCCAAAAGAGAAGCAAUUACAGGAGAAAGCAAAGCCAGAGACUGAAUUUCAGGCCCAGCUCUUCCAAUCUAUGGCCUCCAUACGAUUUGGACUGAAUGAUUUAAUAACCUCAACAAUAGAGGUGAAAAACUCUGUCCAGCAGAGGAGCAGCGUCUCAUCGCAGUGUGGAUAACCAUCAAAUAUAAAGAAGACGUCGCGUUUACUUUUUCUUUUUGGUUAUAUAACAGUGAAGUCAAGUGACUUUGGCACUUUGUAAUUAGCAACAAGUUCAUGUUUUUCAUGAUCUCAGCAGGGUAUUCUUAUGUCAUUAAUGAGUUAUUGGUGGAUGUCAGGUUUAGAUCAUAGUUACACCAGAUAAUGUAGCGGCAUUGAGUUUUAAUGACCUCAGCUCAUGAAAAACAGGACGCUCCACUAUGCUACUUUGAGAAAAUAAUGCUAUUGCUGUUUGCAUGCUCUUUUAUUGUAGUUCAAUCUAUGAAAUCAUGAGAAAACAGGAAACCAAGUUGUUGUUGUUUUUUAAAAUGUUAUUGGUGCUUUUUUUCACGAUACACAUUAAUGCUUUUGAAAUGUUUGCCAUGCAUAGUUCUCCAAAAACUCUGUAUGCUUUGAUUUUUAUCAUGUUUGCAGGGAUGAUAACAUCUCUACCUCAAAUACAAUAGCAAACAGUCCAAUACAUAUUUUCUUUUGCACACAUGUAUAAUAAAUUGGACCAUGGGAUUUUGGACAGUUGCAGAGUUCAAUUUUUUUUUUUUUUUUUUUUGAUGCUUCAAUAUUGUUUAUUUAUAUGAUUUCUAUCUAUGGCUCACACAAAGCUUAUAAAAUUUUUGUUUCCAAAAUGUCUGUCCAUUCCACUCUGUUUCCAAUUUUAAUCUAAAAAUUUGAAAGAAUUUUACUGUAUUUUAAAAUGAAUAAAAAUGAAAACGAA